rnacentral:rRNA from 1 species
CCUACGGGGCGCAGCAGUGAGGAAUAUUGGUCAAUGGGCGCGAGCCUGAACCAGCCACGUAGCGUGAAGGAUGACUGCCCUACGGGUUGUAAACUUCUUUUAUAAAGGAAUAAAGUGAGGCACGUGUGCCUUUUUGUAUGUACUUUAUGAAUAAGGAUCGGCUAACUCCGUGCCAGCAGCCGCGGUAAUACGGAGGAUCCGAGCGUUAGCCGGAUUUAUUGGGUUUAAAGGGAGCGUAGAUGGGUUGUUAAGUCAGUUGUGAAAGUUUGCGGCUCAACCGUACAAUUGCAAUUGAUACUGGCAGCCUUGAGUACAGAUGAGGUAGGCGGAAUUCGGGGUGUAGCGGUGAAAUGCUUAGAUAUCACGAAGAACUCCGAUGGCGAAGGCAGCUUACUAAACUGCCACUGACGUUGAUGCUCGAAAGUGUGGGUAUCAAACAGGAUUAGAUACCCGGGUAGUC